rnacentral:rRNA from 1 species
AUUGAACGCUGGCGGAAUGCUUUACACAUGCAAGUCGAACGGUAGAGGGGGCAACCCCUUGAGAGUGGCGAACGGGUGAGUAAUAUAUCGGAACGUGCCCAGUCGUGGGGAUAACGUAGCGAAAGUUACGCUAAUACCGCAUACGCACUAAGGUGGAAAGUGGGGGAUCUUCGGACCUCAUGCUCAUGGAGUGGCCGAUAUCUGAUUAGCUAGUUGGUGAGGUAAAGGCUCACCAAGGCGACGAUCAGUAGCUGGUUUGAGAGAACGACCAGCCACACUGGAACUGAGACACGGUCCAGACUCC